GCGCUCACUUCGGCAGCACACAUACUAAAAUUGGAAUGAUACAGAGAAGAUUAGCAUGGCCCCUGCUCAAGGAUGACAUGCAAAUUCAUAAAGCAUUCCAUAAAAAU
rnacentral:snRNA from 1 species